AUUGAACGCUGGCGGCAUGCCUUACACAUGCAAGUCGAACGGCAGCACGGGAGCAAUCCUGGUGGCGAGUGGCGAACGGGUGAGUAAUAUAUCGGAACGUGCCCGGUCGUGGGGAUAACGUAGCGAAAGCUACGCUAAUACCGCAUACGAUCUACGGAUGAAAGCGGGGGAUCGCAAGACCUCGCGCGAUUGGAGCGGCCGAUAUCAGAUUAGGUAGUUGGUGAGGUAAAGGCUCACCAAGCCGACGAUCUGUAGCUGGUCUGAGAGGACGACCAGCCACACUGGAACUGAGACACGGU
rnacentral:rRNA from 1 species